rnacentral:rRNA from 1 species
GAUGAACGCCGGCGGCGUGCCUAAUACAUGCAAGUCGAGCGAACGGACGAGAAGCUUGCUUCUCUGAUGUUAGCGGCGGACGGGUGAGUAACACGUGGAUAACCUACCUAUAAGACUGGGAUAACUUCGGGAAACCGGAGCUAAUACCGGAUAAUAUUUUGAACCGCAUGGUUCAAAAGUGAAAGACGGUCUUGCUGUCACUUAUAGAUGGAUCCGCGCUGCAUUAGCUAGUUGGUAAGGUAACGGCUUACCAAGGCAACGAUGCAUAGCCGACCUGAGAGGGUGAUCGGCCACACUGGAACUGAGACACGGUCAAGACUCCUACGGGAGGCAGCAGUAGGGAAUCUUCCGCAAUGGGCGAAAGCCUGACGGAGCAACGCCGCGUGAGUGAUGAAGGUCUUCGGAUCGUAAAACUCUGUUAUUAGGGAAGAACAUAUGUGUAAGUAACUGUGCACAUCUUGACGGUACCUAAUCAGAAAGCCACGGCUAACUACGUG